rnacentral:rRNA from 1 species
GUGUCAGCCGCCGCGGUAACACGGGGGGAGCAAGCGUUGUUCGGAUUCAUUGGGCGUAAAGAGCUCGUAGGCGGCUCUGUAAGUCGGGGGUGAAAGACCACGGCUCAACCGUGGAAACGCCUUCGAUACUGUGGAGCUUGAGGCCGGGAGAGGAAAGCGGAAUUCCUGGUGUAGCGGUGAAAUGCGUAGAUAUCAGGAGGAACACCAGUGGCGAAGGCGGCUUUCUGGACCGGUUCUGACGCUGAGGAGCGAAAGCCAGGGGAGCAAACAGGAUUAGAUACCCCCGUAGUCC